rnacentral:tRNA from 1 species
GCGUGGUUGCGAGAGAGGUCUAAUCGCGCGGAUUGCAAAUCCGUUGUUCGUCAGUUCGAAUCUGACAUCACGCU